rnacentral:lncRNA from 1 species
UUCCUUCCUUCCUUCCUUCCUUCCUUUCUUUUUUUCUUUCUUUUUUCUCCUUUUGAGACAGAGUUUCACUCUUGUUGCCCAAGUUGGAGUACAGUGGCACAAUCUCGGGUCACUGCAACCUCUACCUCCGAGGUUCAAGCUAUUCCUCCACCUCAGCCUCCCGAGUAGCUGGGAUUACAGGCACCCACCACCACACCCAGCUAAUUUUUUGUAUUUUUA